rnacentral:rRNA from 1 species
UGGGGAAUAUUGGACAAUGGGCGCAAGCCUGAUCCAGCCAUGCCGCGUGAGUGAUGAAGGCCUUAGGGUUGUAAAGCUCUUUCACCGAUGAAGAUAAUGACGGUAGUCGGAGAAGAAGCCCCGGCUAACUUCGUGCCAGCAGCCGCGGUAAUACGAAGGGGGCUAGCGUUGUUCGGAAUUACUGGGCGUAAAGCGCACGUAGGCGGAUAUUUAAGUCAGGGGUGAAAUCCCGCAGCUCAACUGCGGAACUGCCUUUGAUACUGGGUAUCUUGAGUAUGGAAGAGGUUAGUGGAAUUGCGAGUGUAGAGGUGAAAUUCGUAGAUAUUCGCAGGAACACCAGUGGCGAAGGCGGCUAACUGGUCCAUAACUGACGCUGAGGUGCGAAAGCGUGGGGGAGCAAACAGGAUUAGAUACCCUGGGUAGUCCACGCCGUAAACGAUGAAUGUUAGCCGUCGGCAAGUUUACUUGUCGGUGGCGCAGCUAACGCAUUAAACAUUCCGCCUGGGGAGUACGGUCGCAAGAUUAAAACUCAAAUGAAUUGACGGGGUCAUAGCUG